rnacentral:rRNA from 1 species
GACGAACGCUGGCGGCGUGCCUAAUACAUGCAAGUAGAACGCUGAAGAGAGGAGCUUGCUCUUCUUGGAUGAGUUGCGAACGGGUGAGUAACGCGUAGGUAACCUGCCUUGUAGCGGGGGAUAACUAUUGGAAACGAUAGCUAAUACCGCAUAACAAUGGAUGACACAUGUCAUUUAUUUGAAAGGGGCAAUUGCUCCACUACAAGAUGGACCUGCGUUGUAUUAGCUAGUAGGUGAGGUAACGGCUCACCUAGGCGACGAUACAUAGCCGACCUGAGAGGGUGAUCGGCCACACUGGGACUGAGACACGGCCCAGACUCCUACGGGAGGCAGCAGUAGGGAAUCUUCGGCAAUGGGGGCAACCCUGACCGAGCAACGCCGCGUGAGUGAAGAAGGUUUUCGGAUCGUAAAGCUCUGUUGUAGGUCAAGAACGAGUGUGAGAGUGGAAAGUUCACACUGUGACGGUAGCUUACCAGAAAGGGACGGCUAACUACGUG